GACGAACGCUGGCGGCGUGCUUAACACAUGCAAGUCGAACGAAGUGGCGUACGGGUGAGUAACGCGUAAUCAACCUGCCCUUCAGAGGGGGACCACAGUUGGAAACGACUGCUAAUACCGCAUACUGAAGGAGGGGAUUGCGUCUGAUUAGCUAGUUGGAGGGGUACAGGGCCACAAAGGCGAUGACUAGUAGGUGGUCUGCUAGGGUGGCCAGCGACAAGGGGACUAAAACACCGCCGUGACUGCCACGGGAGGACGCAGUGGGGAAAUUCCCGAAAUGGACGAAAGUCAGACGGCGCAACGCCGAGUGAGUGAUGACGGCCUUCGGGUUGAAAAGCUCUGUUAAGCGGGACGCGGUACCGGAAUAGAAAGCCACGGCUAACUACGUGCCAGCAGCCGCGGUAAUAC
rnacentral:rRNA from 1 species